GUAAUGCCGGAUGCUCCAGUUGAUCGCAUGGUCUUCUGGGAAAGCUUUCGCGGUAUGGGAUGGGGUCGCGUCCUAUCAGCUUGACGGCGGGGUAACGGCCCACCGUGGCUUCGACGGGUAGCCGGCCUGAGAGGGCGACCGGCCACAUUGGGACUGAGAUACGGCCCAGACUCCUACGGGAGGCAGCAGUGGGGAAUAUUGCACAAUGGGCGCAAGCCUGAUGCAGCGACGCCGCGUGAGGGAUGGAGGCCUUCGGGUUGUAAACCUCUUUUAUCGGGGAGCAAGCGAGAGUGAGUUUACCCGUUGAAUAAGCACCGGCUAACUACGUGCCAGCAGCCGCGGUAAUACGUAGGGUGCAAGCGUUAUCCGGAAUUAUUGGGCGUAAAGGGCUCGUAGGCGGUUCGUCGCGUCCGGUGUGAAAGUCCAUCGCUUAACGGUGGAUCCGCGCCGGGUACGGGCGGGCUUGAGUGCGGUAGGGGAGACUGGAAUUCCCGGUGUAACGGUGGAAUGUGUAGAUAUCGGGAAGAACACCA
rnacentral:rRNA from 1 species